UACGGAGGGUGCGAGCGUUGUCCGGAAUCACUGGGCGUAAAGGGCGCGUAGGUGGCGCGGGCAGUCAACGGUGAAAGUUCGGGGCCCAACCCUGAAUCGGCCGUCGAUACUCCCGGGCUUGAGCACUGUAGAGGCAGAUGGAAUUCCGGGUGUAGCGGUGGAAUGCGUAGAGAUCCGGAAGAACACCGGUGGCGAAGGCGGUCUGCUGGGCAGUAGCUGACACUGAGGCGCGACAGCGUGGGGAGCAAACAGG
rnacentral:rRNA from 1 species